CCUACGGGGCGCAGCAGUCGGGAAUAUUGCGCAAUGGAGGAAACUCUGACGCAGUGACGCCGCGUAUAGGAAGAAGGUUUUCGGAUUGUAAACUAUUGUCGUGAGGGAAGAAAUUGACAGUACCUCAGGAGGAAGCUCCGGCUAACUAUGUGCCAGCAGCCGCGGUAAUACAUAGGGAGCAAGCGUUAUCCGGAUUUAUUGGGUGUAAAGGGUGCGUAGGCGGUCCGGAAAGUCAGCGGUAAAAGCCCGGGGCUCAACCCCGGCGAGCCGUUGAAACUGUCGGACUAGAGACGGCGAGAAGUACG
rnacentral:rRNA from 1 species